rnacentral:rRNA from 1 species
ACCUACGGGGCGCAGCAGUAGGGAAUCUUCCACAAUGGGCGAAAGCCUGAUGGAGCAACGCCGCGUGGGUGAAGAAGGUCUUCGGAUCGUAAAACCCUGUUGUUAGAGAAGAAAGUGCGUGAGAGUAACUGUUCACGUUUCGACGGUAUCUAACCAGAAAGCCACGGCUAACUACGUGCCGGCAGCCGCGGUAAUACGUAGGUGGCAAGCGUUAUCCGGAUUUAUUGGGCGUAAAGGAAACGCAGGCGGUCUUUUAAGUCUGAUGUGAAAGCCUUCGGCUUAACCGGAGUAGUGCAUUGGAAACU